rnacentral:rRNA from 1 species
GACGAACGCUGGCGGCGUGCCUAAUACAUGCAAGUCGAACGAAGCUGUUUUAACUGGUGCUUGCACCGACUUAAACAACUGAGUGGCGAACGGGUGAGUAACACGUGGGUAACCUGCCCCAAAGCGGGGAUAACAUUUGGAAACAGAUGCUAAUACCGCAUAACCACAGAAACCACAUGGUUUCUGUGUCAAAGAUGGUUUCGGCUAUCACUUUGGGAUGGACCCGCGGCGUAUUAGCUAGUUGGUAAGGUAAUGGCUUACCAAGGCAAUGAUACGUAGCCGAACUGAGAGGUUGAUCGGCCACAUUGGGAGUGAGACACGGCCCAAACUCCUACGGGAGGCAGCAGUAGGGAAUCUUCCACAAUGGACGAAAGUCUGAUGGAGCAACGCCGCGUGAGUGAAGAAGGUUUUCGGAUCGUAAAACUCUGUUGUCAGAGAAGAACGUGUGCGAGAGUAACUGCUCGUGCAGUGACGGUAUCUGGCCAGAAAGCCACGGCUAACUACGUGCCAGCAGCCGCAGUAA